CUCUUACCGUAAAGAAACCUCUACGCAGUUUAAGGUUAAACCUCUUUUCUUCUAAUUCUAGUGAAUGGCCACAUGUCUUUUUAAUUUCUCUUGACAAAGGCUGGUGUAGCCAUUGUAUUCAUUGCUGGUAAAUCAAGAUGGACCCAUGGUGUAUCCUCCUAAUAAAUAUUAUACCUCUCUAUGGUACUCCCAAUUGAUCCACUUUAUCCAUCCGUAUUGUGAUAUAUAUCCAUCCACUGAAUACACAGUGAUCAUAUAUAUUGUGCCUGAUAUCAAAGUUCUCCUGAAGAAGCCACCAAAUGGUCGAAGCAUGUAGAGACUAAUCAGAUGUGCACCUUUGUUUGUAUAUUUCUAUGAUCCAAUAAUUGAAUGUUAUCUCAUGUAUUCACUCUA